rnacentral:lncRNA from 1 species
UAAAAGUAUAAUUAGUAUUAUCUAACACAGAUUUCAAAAAAUGCAUCAUACAUGUGCUCCUUUUUUCAAAGUGAAUCUGACCACUUUACUGAUAUGGUUCUCUAGUCUUUAAGACACUUCAAAAUGGAGCCCCAAGUAUGUUGAAGUGGGAACUGGGGGGACUUUACUCUUUUGUAGUACUCUUAAAUUGCUAAAGAUUAAACUUGCUCAUGUGGAUACUAUGUGGAGUCAUAACGUAUCUUUACUUUGUGAUUUUAGUAUUUAUGGGACCUGAAGAAUUACUUGUUCUCUGGUGAGAUUUUUCAGAUAUGACACAGAAAAGCAGGGAGAAACUGGUUCUCUGUUCAUGGAAACUGAAGUUUGUAAGAGUUUAAGGCCAAACGUAAGAGGUCAUACUCCCUGUCACAAACUCCAGCUGAACUAACUUGGAGGAGGAUCUUCC